AGGGUUGUAGUUAAUUAUAACAUUUGAAUUGCACUCAAAAAGUACUAAAUUUAGUCUACCUUA
rnacentral:tRNA from 1 species